rnacentral:tRNA from 1 species
AGUGUUGUGGCUCAGUGGUAGAGCACUCGCCUAGCAUGUGCGAGGCCCUGGGUUCAAUCCUCAGCACUACAA